rnacentral:tRNA from 1 species
GCCUGGAUGGCUCAGUUGGUUAAGCAGCUGCCUUUGGUUCAGGUCAUGAUCGCAGCAUCGUGGGAUCGAGUCCCACAUUGGGCU